UGGAGUAAAGAAAACAAAGGCCUCAGACGCUGCCAAGGCUGGAAAGAAGAAAUGAGUUUUUACUGCUGUGUUUUCGUGCCUCGGCCGUUCUCUCUAUCAUGUCUGUAUUUCAUCCCUCUAAAGUUUAGUUCUUAAGUGGCGUUUGGCACUGCCAAUGAAAUGAAUGUCUGGAGAAUUAUUGACAUCAAUGUUUUAGCCAUUAAUUGCAAAUUUGGGAGUGUUUUUUUCUAGGGAACAAUUUUGACAUUAGUG
rnacentral:misc_RNA from 1 species